rnacentral:rRNA from 1 species
CAGUCGCCACGGUAAUACGUAGGUGGCAAGCGUUGUCCGGAAUUAUUGGGCGUAAAGGGCUCGCAGGCGGUUUCUUAAGUCUGAUGUGAAAGCCCCCGGCUCAACCGGGGAGGGUCAUUGGAAACUGGGAAACUUGAGUACAGAAGAGGAGAGUGGAAUUCCACGUGUAGCGGUGAAAUGCGUAGAGAUGUGGAGGAACACCAGUGGCGAAGGCGACUCUCUGGUCUGUAACUGACGCUGAGGAGCGAGAGCGUGGGGAGCGAACAGGAUUAGAUACCCCGGUAGUCCCUGUCUCUUAUAC